UACGUAGGGGGCUAGCGUUGUCCGGAAUCAUUGGGCGUAAAGAGCGCGUAGGCGGCCAGAUAAGUCCGGUGUGAAAGUCACAGGCUCAACCUGUGAAUGCCGCUGGAAACUGUCUGGCUAGAGUCCGGGAGGGGCGAGUGGAAUUCCUGGUGUAGCGGUGAAAUGCGCAGAUAUCUGGAGGAACACCGGUGGCGAAGGCGGCGUCCUGGACCAACACUGACACUGAUGAGCGGAAAGCCAGGGGAGCAAACGGGAUU
rnacentral:rRNA from 1 species